rnacentral:rRNA from 1 species
UACAGAGGUCUCAAGCGUUUGUUCGGAUUCAUUGGGCGUAAAGGGUGCGUAGGUGGCGCUGUAAGUCGGGUGUGAAAUUUCGGAGCUUAACUCCGAAACUGCAUUCGAUACUGCGGUGCUUGAGGACUGGAGAGGAGACUGGAAUUUAUGGUGUAGCAGUGAAAUGCGUAGAGAUCAUAAGGAAGACCAGUGGCGAAAGGCGGGUCUCUGGACAGUUCCUGACAUGAGGCACGAAGGCCAGGGGGAGCGAAACAGG